UACGGAGGGAGCUAGCGUUGUUCGGAAUUACUGGGCGUAAAGGGCUCGUAGGCGGCCAACUAAGUCGGACGUGAAAUCCCCAGGCUCAACCUGGGAACUGCGUCUGAUACUGGAUGGCUUGAAUCCGGGAGAGGGAUGCAGAAUUCCAGGUGUAGCGGUGAAAUGCGUAGAUAUCUGGAGGAAUACCGGUGGCGAAGGCGGCAUCCUGGACCGGCAUUGACGCUGAGGAGCGAAAGCCAGGGGAGCAAACGGG
rnacentral:rRNA from 1 species